rnacentral:rRNA from 1 species
GGACCUUCGGGGUUAGUGGCGGACGGGUGAGUAACACGUGGGAACGUGCCUUUUGGUUCGGAAUAGCUCCUGGAAACGGGUGGUAAUGCCGAAUGUGCCCUUCGGGGGAAAGAUUUAUCGCCAUUAGAGCGGCCCGCGUCUGAUUAGCUAGUUGGUGAGGUAAAGGCUCACCAAGGCUACGAUCAGUAGCUGGUCUGAGAGGAUGACCAGCCACAUUGGGACUGAGACACGGCCCAAACUCCUACGGGAGGCAGCAGUGGGGAAUCUUGCGCAAUGGGCGAAAGCCUGACGCAGCCAUGCCGCGUGAAUGAUGAAGGUCUUAGGAUUGUAAAAUUCUUUCACCGGGGACGAUAAUGACGGUACCCGGAGAAGAAGCCCCGGCUAACUUCGUGCCAGCAGCCGCGGUAAUGCGAAGGGGGCUAGCGUUGCUCGGAAUUACUGGGCGUAAAGGGAGCGUAGGCGGACAUUUAAGUCAGGGGUGAAAUCCCAGAGCUCAACUCUGGAACUGCCUUUGAUACUGGAUGUCUUGAGUGUGAGAGAGGUAUGUGGAACUCCGAGUGUAGAGGUGAAAUUCGUAGAUAUUCGGAAGAACAUCAGUGGCGAAGGCGACAUACUGGCUCAUUACUGACGCUGAGGCUCGAAA